GAUGAACGCUGGCGGCGUGCCUAAUACAUGCAAGUCGAGCGAACAGACGAGGAGCUUGCUCCUCUGACGUUAGCGGCGGACGGGUGAGUAACACGUGGAUAACCUACCUAUAAGACUGGGAUAACUUCGGGAAACCGGAGCUAAUACCGGAUAAUAUAUUGAACCGCAUGGUUCAAUAGUGAAAGACGGUUUUGCUGUCACUUAUAGAUGGAUCCGCGCCGCAUUAGCUAGUUGGUAAGGUAACGGCUUACCAAGGCAACGAUGCGUAGCCGACCUGAGAGGGUGAUAGGCCACACUGGAACGGAGACAGGGUCCAGACUCCUACGGGAGGCAGCAGUAGGGAAUCUUCCGCAAUGGGCGAAAGCCUGACGGAGCAACGCCGCGUGAGUGAUGAAGGUCUUCGGAUCGUAAAACUCUGUUAUUAGGGAAGAACAAAUGUGUAAGUAACUAUGCACGUCUUGACGGUACCUAAUCAGAAAGCCACGGCUAACUACGUG
rnacentral:rRNA from 1 species